AGGAACCUUCUAUUUCCGUUAUAGGGAGACUCAGCAGCAGUGAUUUUCAGUUCCGUUUUUAAUCUUUUCAUUUUGUGAAGAUGGCAGUAUAUUACCUACGCAUAUUUCUUCUUUUUCUUCUGACCUUCAAAACAGGGUUCAGUGCUGAGAUCUCUGUGUUUGUGCAGACGGGAGAUUCUGUUCAACUGGAUAUACAGACACAGAAACUACCAGAGUUUGAUCUUUUAACCUGGAGAAAUGAUAAAUCAGAGAAUGUAGUUAAAUAUAUAAGUGAAACUAAAGUCGUAAAACCUCUCAAUUCCUACAAAGACAGAGUGGAUUUCAAUGAUACAACCUUCUCUCUCACACUGAAGAACAUGCAGAAGACAGACAGUGGACUCUAUACAGCAAUAGCAAGUGGAGAUUCAGAGAACAAUAUUGCUACAUACAGAGUAUCUGUUAUAGACGCUGUGGAGGCUCCUGUUCUGACUGUAAACUCAAACUGGUCCAGCAGUGACUCCUGUACUGUAAUCUUCACAUGCAGAGCUCAUGACCUCAUGAUAAACUCUAGCUAUCAGAACAACAGAUGUAUUGCACAGGAAGUGACAUCACAAAUCAACACUCUAAACCUGAACUGCAAUGAGGAAUCCAUCAUCUGUAACCAUAGCAACCCAGUUAGCUGGAAAAAAGACAGAAUAAACAUUACACCGCUCUGUGUCAAUAAUAAAGAAAACAACUCAAGUGACAUCAAGACUGAGCCACCCUUCCAGUUAUGGACAUAUAUUUUGGGGGCAGUGUGUCUUUUUGGGGGAAUUGCAUUAUAGUCUUUCUCUAUUGCAAGUGUAAAAAAGGUGCCCAAGAGGCUGAAAGUACAGUCUAUGCUCAAGUUGAGACUCAAGAAAUGCAGAAAACCAACAGUGACGGUCAUACAUAUGAUGUUCCAGAACGGGUACAGGAUCAGACGCAGGAGCAAACGGGAGAUAAUCGACCCAACACAACCUACAGCACAGUAGGACAACACCAAAAACCUGCAGUCCCUGUCGAAACAGACCAUACUAUUUAUUCAACAGUGUGCAAACAACCAACCAAGAAACCACCCACCAUUUCAUCUGAUGAUGCAUAACAUGAAACUGUGUUUGUCACAUGGGGAAGUUUCACAAGGGCUGAUCUCAAAAUGGCAUCCUACUCUUACUAUCUCUGUCAUAUCGGCAUAUGGUAGAAAUAAUAAGAAAAAGUAUUCUAUCCUAUUC